rnacentral:rRNA from 1 species
UACGUAGGGAGCAAGCGUUGUCCGGAAUCAUUGGGCGUAAAGCGCGCGUAGGUGGCCUCAUAAGUCCGCUGUGAAAGUCAAAGGCUCAACCUUUGAAAGCCGGUGGAUACUGUGAGGCUAGAGUACGGAAGAGGCGAGUGGAAUUCCUGGUGUAGCGGUGGAAUGCGCAGAUAUCAGGAGGAACACCAAUAGCGAAGGCAGCUCGCUGGGACGUUACUGACACUGAGAGACGAAAGCCAGGGGAGCAAACGGG